rnacentral:rRNA from 1 species
GUGCCAGCAGCCGCGGUAAUACGGAGGGGUGCGAGCGUUAAUCGGAAUUACUGGGCGUAAAGCGCAUGCAGGCGGCCUGUUAAGUCAGAUGUGAAAGACCCGGGGCGUUAACCUCCGGAAAUUGCAUUUGUAAACUAGGCAGGCUAGAGUCUUGUAGAGGGGGGUAGGGAAUUUCAGGUGUAGCGGUGAAAUAGCGUAGAGAUCUGAAGGAAUACCAGUGGCGAAGGCGGCCCCCUCGGACAAAGACUGACGCUCAGAUGCGAAAGCGUGGGGAGCAAACAGGAUUAGAUACCCUGGUAG